UUUUCUUUAACCCUUAUUUUCGGUGGAAACUACAGGGCAUGCCACCGCUAAGUGAUCGAACGGUUUGAUAACUGACCAUCCUUAUCGCACAUGGGCGGCCUCCUUCUAAUUUCCUUCCCCACGCGAGAGCACAGAGCAGUCGCCGGCCUCCACCACCGCUACUUGUGCACGGUUACCCCCGGCCUCCACGGCUCCAUCUCCGGCGUGGGCCCCGACGGCGUACCAUCCGCCUCAUGUGCAGCGGAAGUGUCCGCUCCCUUUUGCUGCUCCUGCCCCGUUUCGCCCCGUCUUGUCUCCUGACACCGAGAUCUGCCGCCAACUCAGGUCCCCUGCGCCGCUGCCCGGCGAGCUCCCUGUCUCCACCAUAUGGCCGAGCUCUCGAAGUCUAGGCUGCACCGAACUAUCCCUCUCCCUCCUCUGAACUUCAGCGUCGGCUCCCAACUGCCCCGUCCUGCCGGAUCUCGUAUGAUGCGGCUGCUCUUGGAGGUUCCCCAAUAAGGCUCUAUCUAUGAUGCUCAGUGUACCUUCCAUUCUGAUGGCAUUUUCCAUGAAUCCCCACUCCCCAGAAUUUAAUUCCUCAAUUUCUGGGAUUUCGAUUCAAUCGUGAUUCGGCGAUCUUGUGCUCGGAGUGGAUUUCCUUGGAUUUAUUUGAAGUAAACUGCAGCCUGUUACUGCCUGGAAGUUCGAAGAUUUCAGAUGGGAUUUGGAAGAACUAGGGUGGAUGGUUCGUGCAGCGCUGCUCUAAUCCUCUGAUACCAUGGGGGAGAGCAAUAGGUUCAUCAAGCACUGCAAUUUCAUCUGCGCCUCGAGUCCCUCGACCAUGGUUACCGGGAGGGUCGGUGAUCUUGUGCGCGGAGAAGAUUUUCUUGAAUUUAUUUAAAGUAAACUGUAGGCUGGUACGGCUUAAAAGUUCGAGAAUUUCGGAUGGGAAUUUCAUAUCUGCGCCUUGACCACGGGAGGGUCCCGACAUGGUCGUCUGCUUCAUGCCCGUGCUCCGACCGGUGACAGCUCGCCGACUUCAGCCUUGCCGGGGAGCCAGCCGUAAUUCGUCAGCGGACUGCCGCUGGAGGCGGCCACUGGUCAGCAUCCCGGCGUAGCAGGUUCUCGAGCUACGCACCAAGACGAAAUUCCAAGAUGCCAUACUUGUUAUUUUGCCGAUGGCCUGAUUCUGUCGCUGCUUGUUUGUCCAAGCUGCAAUAUGUUUUGAGGAUAUCAUGCGGUUAUUGGUAAAAUAGAUGUGCAAGCACAACCUACGCAGAAGAAGUCAAACAGGUGAAUCUAGAUGAGAAAUUCGCUCUGUCCUGAUAACAAGAAAAAUGAUCCACCUAGGAACGAUCAUAAUGCAGUAGAUACAUUUACCAACAUAUCUGUAUCAAAAACACCUCCAGCAUAGACCACCACGAUGGUGCAUACAAGCGGGUGGGAGAGAGGAAGAUCCAUUCCACUUUUUGUUGAAUCCGUUGCCGUCUCCCACAACCACAUGUCGUCUCGGACGAAUAUUACGGGAUCGGUGAAGAUCUAGGCAUCGCCUAUGUUGAGGCGGAAGAUGGUGCAUUUCUAUGACAAAUAUUAUUUUUCUCUUCCGUAGCAACGCACUGACAAAUUUCCUAGCAAAGAUACUUAAUUAAUAUAAGCAUAUUUUCAUCUAA